CCUCCCAUUCUUGGCAGGCCCUGGCCGCCCCGUGCCCGGGUCCGUCAUGUCCGGAGGUAGAGCAGCGACUCUUUCACGGGCACCC
rnacentral:snoRNA from 1 species